UUCUGGUUGAUCCUGCCGGACCUGACUGCUAUCGGAUUGAUACUAAGCCAUGCGAGUCAUUGUAGCAAUACAAGGCAUACGGCUCAGUAACGCGUAGUCAACCUAACCUAUGGACGGGAAUAACCUCGGGAAACUGAGAAUAAUGCCCGAUAGAACAUUAUGCCUGGAAUGGUUUAUGUUCCAAAUGAUUUAUCGCCGUAGGAUGGGACUGCGGCCUAUCAGUUUGUUGGUGAGGUAAUGGCCCACCAAGACUAUUACAGGUACGGGCUCUGAGAGGAGUAGCCCGGAGAUGGGUACUGAGACACGGACCCAGGCCCUAUGGGGCGCAGCAGGCGAGAAAACUUUGCAAUGUGCGAAAGCACGACAAGGUUAAUCCGAGUGGUUUCUGCUAAAGGAACCUUUUGUCAGUCCUAGAAACACUGAUGAAUAAGGGGUGGGCAAGUUCUGGUGUCAGCCGCCGCGGUAAAACCAGCACCUCAAGUGGUCAGGAUGAUUAUUGGGCCUAAAGCAUCCGUAGCCCGCUCUGUAAGUUUUCGGUUAAAUCUGUACCGCU
rnacentral:rRNA from 1 species